GAUGGAACCGCGAACGGAAGGAUCGGAACGGAAGCAAGGCGCUGACUGGUUGAAAAGCUUAAGCAGUGAGUGGGUCUGUUAACAAAAUAACCAAUGAGAGAGACUGAUCGCUGUGAGGGCGGUGAUUGGCAUUUCUCGUAGCCAUUCAGUUCCUCUCUCUCCCUGAGGCCCACAGGGGGCGCUCCGGCUCGCCGUGGUUACCAUGGCAGCCACCAUGGCGGCGGGCCUGCGGCUGUGCCCCCCCUUUGGGCGCUGGGUCUGGGCUGGGUCCUCUGGGAAAAACAGCCUGGCGUGGGAGCAAACCGCAUGGCUGAGAGGAAAUACGUGUCCAGCAGAGUUGUUAAGUGCAGUGAGAUCUUCCACUGGAUUGUGCAAAGAAAAGGCAAAGAGCACAGUAGUGGUGCUUUGACCUGGAUAGAGGCUCAAAUGUCUUCCUGCAUACUGGACUGCAUAAACUUCAGAGUUUUAAGCACUGCACAAUUUUUCAUUAGCCAGUGAUGGAACAGUUUGCAAACUUGCUUGUGGCCUUCUGCAUCCAGAUCAGGAGCAGUGCGUGCAGAGCUGCUGCACAGCUGAGGAUGAACUUCCCAUGGUGAUGAAGAGGCACAAAGGAAUGUUUCUGAGUGCCCAGCUGCCUGCAUUCUUGUUCAGCUCAUUCCUUAAAGACUGCUGAGAUGUGGUUGUAUUAGUAAUGAUAUGUUACAGUGCCUUGAGACCUGGAUAAACAACUAAUGAGGCAUCUUAGUCAAAAUAAAAAAGAUUUUCCCUCCUGGUUCCUCUGUUUGAACACUCAUUUCUGCAGGAAGGCAUGCAGUGCCACUGGAAAGCACACACCUCCUGUCCAAACACCACGAUGCCUGCAGGUUGCCAUAGCAAUGAGAAGAGCUGAGGCCAUUUGGGGCUGUAAUUCUGCAAUGCACACAGCAGUGAGGUGCCACAUCCCCGUGCUCAGCAAAGUCAGGCUCCAGCAGCCACAUGCAGCCUGGGAAGGGUGUUUCACAGACAUUGAGCCUGUUGUGCAGGCUGCAUCCCUGAAUGUGCCUUCACAGCAUGGCCAAAUAGUUCCCAGAUAACACCAUGGCUGUCACACCUGUGGACUGCAACAUACCUGGCAGUCACAAAUGGAGAUAUGGCUUGAGAAAGCUGGUGUCUAUUUAAACAUCGUUGCUAGACUAUACUUGCAAUGGACAGUCUAAAUAAAGAUACUGAAUGCCUUAUCAGGCCAAGUUUUACAAAGCAGAAAACCACUACUUGAGAGUUGGCACAAAAGGAAAUGAUUUAAUCCCCAGAAGCGAGUGACAGCUGGGAACUGCAUGAAAACAGCAAAUGCUGUGCCCAGAAAGCUGUAGUCCUGCAUAAAA